ACUUACUCCAGAGACUCACUAACUUGCACAGCAUUGAAUGGAAAAGGCUUUGUCCAUGUCCAGUUGAGGGGCAUCAAGAACACGCAGAUAGCCUACCUGGACAGACUGCAGUUCUGCUACUCCAUGCCAAGGCUUUUGUAUGGAUGUCUUGACUACUACUGUGUUCUCUAAAGGUUUUCUGGAAGCUCCAUUUGAGGGCAUCAAGGACAUACUGAUGGCCUAAACCAGUGUCAGCCUAGACAGACAGACAUCUAUUGCAGUUCUGCUACACAAGACCAAACUCUCUGCUUUUGUAUGGAUGUCUGACUAGUACGGUGUUCUCUAAAGGUAUAACCGGAGCAAAACAAUAGCAUCCGUUACAGUGAAAUUUGUGUUCAUAAAAGAUAGUGAUAUGUGUAACAGGUCCAGUACAUUUGUCAUAAAGGUUAUAUCACAGUAAGUACUGUAAAAA